CCUCUCAUGGCGUGGUGGUUAACGCACCCCAACUAGAGAUCGGGGAGUCGUGUGUUCGAUUCUCACUGAGAAGA
rfam:Aedes aegypti strain Liverpool supercont1.232 genomic scaffold, whole genome shotgun sequence.